rnacentral:rRNA from 1 species
UACGUAGGGGGCAAGUGUUAUCCGGAAUUACUGGGUGUAAAGGGUGCGUAGGUGGUAUGGCAAGUCAGAAGUGAAAACCCAGGGCUUAACUCUGGGACUGCUUUUGAAACUGUCAGACUAGAGUGCAGGAGAGGUAAGCGGAAUUCCUAGUGUAGCGGUGAAAUGCGUAGAUAUUAGGAGGAACAUCAGUGGCGAAGGCGGCUUACUGGACUGAAACUGACACUGAGGCACGAAAGCGUGGGGAGCAAACAGG